UUCAUGACUGGGUUAAAGUCGUAACAAGUUACCCGUAGGGGAACCUGUGCCUGGAUCACCUCCUU
rnacentral:rRNA from 1 species